AACGAACGCUGGCGGCAUGCCUAACACAUGCAAGUCGAACGAGACCUUCGGGUCUAGUGGCGCACGGGUGCGUAACGCGUGGGAAUCUGCCCUUGGGUUCGGAAUAACUCAGAGAAAUUUGAGCUAAUACCGGAUGAUGACGAAAGUCCAAAGAUUUAUCGCCCAGGGAUGAGCCCGCGUAAGAUUAGCUUGUUGGUAGGGUAAUGGCCUACCAAGGCGACGAUCUUUAGCUGGUCUGAGAGGAUGAUCAGCCACACUGGGACUGAGACACGGCCCAGACUCCUACGGGAGGCAGCAGUGGGGAAUUUUGGACAAUGGGCGCAAGCCUGAUCCAGCCAUGCCGCGUGCAGGAUGAAGGCCUUCGGGUUGUAAACUGCUUUUGUACGGAACGAAAAGACUCUUUCUAAUAAAGAGGGUCCAUGACGGUACCGUAAGAAUAAGCACCGGCUAACUACGUG
rnacentral:rRNA from 1 species